GAUGAACGCUGGCGGCGUGCCUAAUACAUGCAAGUCGAGCGAACGGACGAGAAGCUUGCUUCUCUGAUGUUAGCGGCGGACGGGUGAGUAACACGUGGAUAACCUACCUAUAAGACUGGGAUAACUUCGGGAAACCGGAGCUAAUACCGGAUAAUAUUUUGAACCGCAUGGUUCAAAAGUGAAAGACGGUCUUGCUGUCACUUAUAGAUGGAUCCGCGCUGCAUUAGCUAGUUGGUAAGGUAACGGCUUACCAAGGCAACGAUGCAUAGCCGACCUGAGAGGGUGAUCGGCCACACUGGAACUGAGACACGGUCCAGACUCCUACGGGAGGCAGCAGUAGGGAAUCUUCCGCAAUGGGCGAAAGCCUGACGGAGCAACGCCGCGUGAGUGAUGAAGGUCUUCGGAUCGUAAAACUCUGUUAUUAGGGAAGAACAUAUGUGUAAGUAACUAUGCACAUCUUGACGGUACCUAAUCAGAAAGCCACGGCUAACUACGUGCCAGCAGCCGCGGUAAUACGUAGGUGGCAAGCGUUAUCCGGAAUUAUUGGGCGUAAAGCGCGCGUAGGCGGUUUUUUAAGUCUGAUGUGAAAGCCCACGGCUCAACCGUGGAGGGUCAUUGGAAACUGGAAAACUUGAGUGCAGAAGAGGAAAGUGGAAUUCCAUGUGUAGCGGUGAAAUGCGCAGAGAUAUGGAGGAACACCAGUGGCGAAGGCGACUUUCUGGUCUGUAACUGACGCUGAUGUGCGAAAGCGUGGGGAUCAAACAGGAUUAGAUACCCUGGUAGUCCACGCCGUAAACGAUGAGUGCUAAGUGUUAGGGGGUUUCCGCCCCUUAGUGCUGCAGCUAACGCAUUAAGCACUCCGCCUGGGGAGUACGACCGCAAGGUUGAAACUCAAAGGAAUUGACGGGGACCCGCACAAGCGGUGGAGCAUGUGGUUUAAUUCGAAGCAACGCGAAGAACCUUACCAAAUCUUGACAUCCUUUGACAACUCUAGAGAUAGAGCCUUCCCCUUCGGGGGACAAAGUGACAGGUGGUGCAUGGUUGUCGUCAGCUCGUGUCGUGAGAUGUUGGGUUAAGUCCCGCAACGAGCGCAACCCUUAAGCUUAGUUGCCAUCAUUAAGUUGGGCACUCUAAGUUGACUGCCGGUGACAAACCGGAGGAAGGUGGGGAUGACGUCAAAUCAUCAUGCCCCUUAUGAUUUGGGCUACACACGUGCUACAAUGGACAAUACAAAGGGCAGCGAAACCGCGAGGUCAAGCAAAUCCCAUAAAGUUGUUCUCAGUUCGGAUUGUAGUCUGCAACUCGACUACAUGAAGCUGGAAUCGCUAGUAAUCGUAGAUCAGCAUGCUACGGUGAAUACGUUCCCGGGUCU
rnacentral:rRNA from 1 species